GAAGAGGUGGCCGAGAGGUCCAAGGCGCCGCAUCAUGAAGAUCAGCUUUGAUUCCUCUUGGAUUCAAAACACUGCGGUCUGUUCUAAGAACAGUCGUGGGUUCAAAUCCCUCCCUCUUCC
rnacentral:tRNA from 1 species